UCUUCACGGCCAACGAAGGCAAGCGCCUCUCCCUGUUCGCUCCUUCUCCUCUCGAAUCCCUAAUUCAUUUGCAUUUUCUGGAAAUUUCUAGAGUCAGGGAAGAGGCCAAGCCGAGCCCGGCCCCGCGCAGUGCCCGCUGCUCGGCGCCGUCGUCCUCUCGCACGCCACGCGACUCCGCCUCGUUGCUUCUCCAUCUUGGAACACUCGCCGACUCCUCCACAGUCCUUAGCUGAUUCUUUCUGUUCUCAAAAGAUGGCGAAGAAGCGUAAAUCUAACCAUCAAGAGAAGCUGGAGGUGCAGCACGAAAAGCUCAUGGAAUCCUACCGUUCUCUCCUGUUCAAUGAUGUCUCUCUGAUGUUACCAGCCAUGAUGGGAAUAUCAAACCUGGAAAAAUUAAGUGAAACAAACCAGGCUCUCUGAUGCUAUUUACCUUCCUCCUCAUGGGAUACAUUGGUACUGCUGCUUUUGUUUUGUCACACUCUUCUGAGCCAAUGACAUGGUCUUCUGUAGUGUUUGCAAUGACACUGGUUAUGACUGUUUUUUGGCUGGGUAAUUUCUAUCUUGCUUUGGUCUCUUCACUCCAUGUAGUCAGCAAUGACACAAUUGGUACUGUUUUUUGUCUAGGGAUUUUUCAUUUUGCAAUUGGACUCCUCGCUCCGGGAGGCCAUCAGGAAGUUUGUAUUCUUGUCGACAUUUUUCUCUUCCUAACCGGUGCUAUCAUCAUAACAUUCCUGUGGAAGAUUCACUUUGUACCCGAACCUCACCCGUAGCACGUUUAAGGUACGGUACAUUCACUUUGCAUCUUGUGAUAACAUAGACUCCCUAGCUUUGAACUACUGGUAGUAUCACUUGUUCUUAUAUAUCAUGCAAAGUCAUUACUUGAUGUGUCCAUAUGCUGUUGUCGCGUGGUAGCAGCUUCGUGUCUGAUAAUAUAGCACCACAUUCUCUUUACCUAGUACUCAUAGGCCAUAGUGCAAUUGCAUGGGUAGAUUUGCCAACCAGUGGCUGUAUUUGUUGUUGAUUUUUCAGAUUUGAUUGAGUAAUCUCUUGCUCACUACGCCAUGAGAAUGAGUACAAUAACCCGACACCACUUAUGAAGAAAAGUUA